rnacentral:tRNA from 1 species
GAGGGUAUAGCUCAGUGGUAGAAUGCCUGAUUAGCAUGCACAAGAUCCUGGAUUCAAUCUCCAGUACCUCCA